AGAGUUUGAUCCUGGCUCAGAUUGAACGCUGGCGGCAUGCCUUACACAUGCAAGUCGAACGGUAACGCGGGGCAACCUGGCGACGAGUGGCGAACGGGUGAGUAACGCAUCGGAACGUGCCCAGUAGUGGGGGAUAGCCCGGCGAAAGCCGGAUUAAUACCGCAUACGACCUACGGGUGAAAGCGGGGGACCGUAAGGCCUCGCGCUAUUGGAGCGGCCGAUGUCAGAUUAGGUAGUUGGUGGGGUAAAAGCCUACCAAGCCGACGAUCUGUAGCUGGUCUGAGAGGACGACCAGCCACACUGGGACUGAGACACGGCCCAGACUCCUACGGGAGGCAGCAGUGGGGAAUUUUGGACAAUGGGCGCAAGCCUGAUCCAGCCAUGCCGCGUGCGGGAUGAAGGCCUUCGGGUUGUAAACCGCUUUUGUCAGGGAAGAAACGCUCCGGGCCAAUACCCUGGGGUAAUGACGGUACCUGAAGAAUAAGCACCGGCUAACUACGUGCCAGCAGCCGCGGUAAUACGUAGGGUGCAAGCGUUAAUCGGAAUUACUGGGCGUAAAGCGUGCGCAGGCGGUUUUGUAAGACAGAGGUGAAAUCCCCGGG
rnacentral:rRNA from 1 species